rnacentral:rRNA from 1 species
CCUACGGGGGCAGCAGUGGGGAAUAUUGGACAAUGGGGGCAACCCUGAUCCAGCCAUGCCGCGUGUGUGAAGAAGGCCCUCGGGUUGUAAAGCACUUUCAGUGAGGAAGAACGCCUGGUGGUUAAUACCCAUCAGGAAAGACAUCACUCACAGAAGAAGCACCGGCUAACUCCGUGCCAGCAGCCGCGGUAAUACGGAGGGUGCGAGCGUUAAUCGGAAUUACUGGGCGUAAAGCGCGCGUAGGUGGCUUGAUAAGCCGGUUGUGAAAGCCCCGGGCUCAACCUGGGAACGGCAUCCGGAACUGUCAAGCUAGAGUGCAGGAGAGGAAGGUAGAAGUCCCGGUGUAGCGGUGAAAUGCGUAGAGAUCGGGAGGAAUACCAGUGGCGAAGGCGGCCUUCUGGACUGACACUGACACUGAGGUGCGAAAGCGUGGGUAGCAAACAGGAUUAGAUACCCUGGUAGUC